rnacentral:misc_RNA from 1 species
GUGAAUCAUCGAAUUUUUGAACGCAAAUUGCGCUUCCUUGCAUCCCGGGAAGUAUGCCUGUUUGAGGGUCAGUAUGAAUAAAAAUCGGUGUUGUUUCUGCUUUUCGUGGUGACGCGUCGGAAUUGUGUUGUCUUACCUUCGGGUAAGUUACUUAAAAUUUUGUAUGAGUUUCGAACGUAUUUAAAUUUUCUACGUACGUUUGAGAUAUCGAAUACUUUAUUAGGUUCGGUCAUCCUCAUGUUUCGCACCUAUAAUUGUUCAUUAAUUUACC